AGAGGGAAGAGCACCUGGGGGCUGAGAGCCAGCCUCGCUGUCUGCUCCCUUUCACAGCCCCCUCCAGCUGUGUUUCUGUUCCUCACCUAGAGGAAAUGUCAGAGGGGCUGAGGAGCAGGUAGUGGUGUGAGCAGUGGCUGUGGGGCAAUGCCCACCGCCUCCCUCCCCCUUGCUGUGCUUCUGUCUUUCUCCAUGCCGGGAAAAGUGCUGCCACUGAAGCACUCCAGCACCGUCACGCCUUAUUCUCUCUACCUCCAAGUUAUUGAAUGGGCAGCUGAAGCAAAGAUGAGAAGUGACCAAGGACAAAAUUAGUAUUGCCUCCUCUCUGGACGUUUUUGGACUUGGAUGGAUAGUCUGUCCUACCAGGAGCAGGUCUGACAGUAUCUUGGGGUACCUGUAUGGGAGGUGUGUAGAGAUUGUCUCUCUUUCACUGACAAGCCAUUACUGUGGUACAGCACGGGACAUGAGCAAGAGGCUCCAUACCAUCUGAGAAGAUCCUGUGACAAGAGGCAAGAUCCUUGGAGACAGGUGACAGUAGAGGAGACUAAUGGCUAAGAAGAAUAUUUACAAGCAGAAUAUUUAUUUCUAAGCAAACUUAACAUCCACCUCCACCUCCUAGCCUGGUGUGGCUGAACCCAUCCUCAACAUGU